GCUCCACAAUUGUCUAGGUCCUAUAUAUUCCUACAUUAUUUCUCAUAUAUUUUCAACUAAUGUAAUGUCUGUUAUCGAUCAAGGCCUGAUCCAUACAGGCAUUACGAAUGUUGAUGUUCAUUUUUUUUAAUUGGGUGUCCAGAUUAGUUUGCGUGUGCACAUCUCAACUAAUCUCAGGACCCUCCCAUGGCUCCGUAAUGUGCAAAGACUAACUAAUCUCAAUUAUUUUAGUUUGGGAAUUAUUGCAUUUCUUAAUUAGCAUAAAAGUGAUAAAACAGUGGAUGCAAUGAAUUAACAAUGUUAAAUUUAUUUGUACAACGCCAUAGCUAACAAAAAAAUAUUUGGUUUCAAAUGUACAGGAUUAAAACACAAAAUAUAUGCACAUAAAAUACAUUAUGUGACUAUGAUUUUAAUUUUAAAUAAGACUCACACAUCACACUCAAUACAGAUUUCAGCCACACAAUGCAUUCCGUGUAAUUCUAAUUUUGAGUGCAUCUACUAUUACUGUUUUGCAUUUUGUCUUGGGGGAGUCGACAACAUCAACAUGCAGUCAUAUUAAUACUCUACUUAAACCAGAUUCUAAAUUCUAAAUAAUCAGAAAAUAAAAAAGCAGCAAUAACAUAUAAUAAUAUGAUAAUAAAAGAUGAUCGAUCAUACCAAGAAAUGAAAACCAUCCAAUUAACAGAAAAAAGAAUUAGAGAGCUUUCCUAAGAAAAACAAUACUAACACAUAAAUGCCCACCCUUACCACUUUAAGUGUCCAAAACUUCAGAAGCCAAGGAAAGGAAAUAAAAUAAAAA